UACGGGGGGGGCAAGCGUUGUUCGGAAUUACUGGGCGUAAAGGGCUCGUAGGCGGCCAACUAAGUCAGACGUGAAAUCCCUCGGCUUAACCGGGGAACUGCGUCUGAUACUGGAUGGCUUGAGGUUGGGAGAGGGAUGCGGAAUUCCAGGUGUAGCGGUGAAAUGCGUAGAUAUCUGGAGGAACACCGGUGGCGAAGGCGGCGAUCUGGCCCAACAUUGACACUGAGACCCGAAAGCGUGGGGAUCAAACGGG
rnacentral:rRNA from 1 species